rnacentral:rRNA from 1 species
AGAACGAACGCUGGCGGCAUGCCUAACACAUGCAAGUCGAACGAGACCUUCGGGUCUAGUGGCGCACGGGUGCGUAACGCGUGGGAAUCUGCCCUUGGGUUCGGAAUAACAGCGAGAAAUUGCUGCUAAUACCGGAUGAUGACGUAAGUCCAAAGAUUUAUCGCCCAAGGAUGAGCCCGCGUAGGAUUAGCUUGUUGGUGAGGUAAGAGCUCACCAAGGCGACGAUCCUUAGCUGGUCUGAGAGGAUGAUCAGCCACACUGGGACUGAGACACGGCCCAGACUCCUACGGGAGGCAGCAGUGGGGAAUAGUUGGACAAGUGGGACGAAAAGCCUAGAUCCAGCAAUGCCGCGUGAGUGA